rnacentral:rRNA from 1 species
UACGUAGGGGGCAAGCGUUGUCCGGAUUUAUUGGGCGUAAAGAGCGUGUAGGCGGCCAUGUAGGUCCGUUGUGAAAACUCGAGGCUCAACCUCGAGACGCCGAUGGAAACCAUGUGGCUAGAGUCCGGAAGAGGAGAGUGGAAUUCCUGGUGUAGCGGUGAAAUGCGCAAAUAUCAGGAAGAACACCCGUGGCUAAGGCGGCUCUCUAGUACGGUACUGACGCUGAGACGCGAAAGCGUGGGGAGCGAACAGG